UACGUAGGGGGCAAGCGUUGUCCGGAAUUACUGGGCGUAAAGGGCGCGUAGGCGGCAUAUUAAGUUAGAUGUGAAAUCCCCGGGCUUAACCUGGGUGGUGCAUUUAAAACUAAUAAGCUUGAGUGCAGGAGAGGAAAGCGGAAUUCCUAGUGUAGCGGUGAAAUGCGUAGAUAUUAGGAGGAACAUCGGUGGCGAAGGCGGCUUUCUGGACUGUAACUGACGCUGAGGCGCGAAAGCGUGGGGAGCAAACAGG
rnacentral:rRNA from 1 species